AGCAGUGUGGCUUAGUGGAAAGAGCCUGGGCUUGGGGGUCUGAGGUCGUGGGUUCUAAUCUCGCUUCUGCCA
rnacentral:tRNA from 1 species